GCCAGCAUGGCAUAGUGGUUCACGUAUUGAACUAUGACUCUAGAGACCAGGGUUCAAAUCCCCUCUCAGGCG